GCAACCUUCUCUACCUUCUCUCUAAAACUUUCCCUUCUCUCUCUCUUCUCCCUCUCUUUUUCCUUUUCACCGAUCAAUGACUUCUCUCCCUCUUUUUUUCCUUUUCGUCGAUCGGUGACUUCUCUGCCUCUCUUUUUCUUUUCGUCGGUCGAUGACUUCUUUUUAUUCCAUACCGCUGCAGAUUGGUGGUCCUAAAUCCCAAAUCUCCCUUUCUUUGUUGUCGGCUCUCCUACAUUCUCCUUACCACCGU
rnacentral:lncRNA from 1 species